ACUAGGUGGCUCUGUAGAUAGAGAGCUAGACUGGGAGACAGUAGAUCUUGGGUUCAAAUCAGACCUCAGACACUCCCUACUUGUGUGACCAUGGGUGAAUUGCCCAGCCUUUACUGCUCUUCUGCCGUAGAAUCAAUAUCGAAUUUAAGAUGGAAGAUAUUAUACAGAAGUUCCUAAAUAACAGAAAUGUUCACUACUCCUGUGGAGGACGAUCUGCAGAGUUCAAAUGGGACAGGACCCAAACUUCAAGAGUUUACCCAUGGCUAAAGCGCUACUAAGAUCCUAAGGUAGUGGAGGUGUCAAUAAGCAGAGAACUGGCCAAAAGGCAAACAGCAGGAGGAGACUAUAAAGAGCCUAGAGAAUCUAUCAAGUGCAUAAUUAGCCUCUGAAUAAUGGGGAGUUGAAUAUUCAUCUGUGAUAUUAUCACAACCUAUACAUACUAUGGACAAGGGAAUGGUCACAGCUGGUAAAG